rnacentral:rRNA from 1 species
AUUGAACGCCGGCGGCAGGCCUAACACAUGCAAGUCGAGCGGAUGAGGGAAGCUUGCUUCCUGAUUUAGCGGCGGACGGGUGAGUAAUGCCUAGGAAUCUGCCUAUUAGUGGGGGAUAACGUUCCGAAAGGAACGCUAAUACCGCAUACGUCCUACGGGAGAAAGUGGGGGAUCUUCGGACCUCACGCUAAUAGAUGAGCCUAGGUCGGAUUAGCUAGUUGGUGGGGUAACGGCUCACCAAGGCGACGAUCCGAAGCUGGUCUGAGAGGAUGAUCAGCCACACUGGAACUGAGACACGGUCCAGACUACUACGGGAGGCAGCAGUGGGGAAUAUUGGACAAUGGGCGAAAGCCUGAUCCAGCCAUGCCGCGUGUGUGAAGAAGGUCUUCGGAUUGUAAAGCACUUUAAGUCGGGAGGAAGGGCUGUAGGUUAAUACCUUGCAGCCUUGACGUUACCGACAGAAUAAGCACCGGCUAACUUCGUGCCAGCCGCCGCAGUAA